rnacentral:rRNA from 1 species
GACAGAGGGGGCAAGCGUUGUCCGGAUUCAUUGGGCGUAAAGGGUGCGUAGGUGGCGGGGUAAGUCAGGUGUGAAAUUUCGGAGCUCAACUCCGAAACUGCAUUUGAUACUGCCUUGCUUGAGGACUGGAGAGGAGACUGGAAUUCACGGUGUAGCAGUGAAAUGCGUAGAUAUCGUGAGGAAGACCAGUGGCGAAGGCGGGUCUCUGGACAGAUCCUGACACUGAGGCACGAAGGCCAGGGGAGCAAACGGG